rnacentral:rRNA from 1 species
UACGAAGGGUGCAAGCGUUACUCGGAAUUACUGGGCGUAAAGCGUGCGUAGGCGGUUUGUUAAGUCUGUCGUGAAAGCCCCGGGCUCAACCUGGGAAUGGCGAUGGAAACUGGCGAGCUAGAGUACGGUAGAGGAGAGUGGAAUUCCCGGUGUAGCAGUGAAAUGCGUAGAGAUCGGGAGGAACAUCAGUUGCGAAGGCGGCUCUCUGGGAUAACACUGACGCUCAUGUACGAAAGCGUGGGUAGCAAACAGG